rnacentral:rRNA from 1 species
GAUGAACGCUGGCGGUAUGCUUUACACAUGCAAGUCAUACGGGAGUUAGUUUCGGCUAACUCCAGUGGCGGACGGGUGAGUAACACGUGAGAAUUCGCCUUUAGGAGGGGGAUAACAGGGGGAAACACCUGCUAAAACCCCAUAUGCCUUCGGGUCAAAAGAGUAAUCUGCCUAAAGAGAAGCUCGCGGCUGAUUAGCUAGUUGGUAGGGUAAAGGCCUACCAAGGCGACGAGCAGUAGCUGGUCUGAGAGGAUGAUCAACCACGCUGGAACUGAGACACGGUCCAGACUCCUACGGGAGGCAGCAGUGAGGAAUUUUCUGCAAUGGGCGAAAGCCUGACAGAGCAAUACCGCGUGAGGGAAGAAGGCUUACUGAGUUGUAAACCUCUGUUACCUAGGGAGGAAGAUCUGACGUUACCUAGGAGACGAAGCAUCGGCUAACUCCGUGCCAGCCGCCGCAGUAAAAC